rnacentral:lncRNA from 1 species
UUAAAGAUGAAAUCCUCGACACGUAUUUCUGAAUCCUUAUAUUAGAAUCUCCUUUUUGCAAGCACCUCGUAAUUAUAUUAGUUAGAUUUGUCGAUCGUGAAAUCAUAGGGACUUUAGUCAAGAAGCGCCUUGAUAGAUAUCGAAAAUUUAUGUAUUGCAACAGUCGUUAUGUAAGAGAAUAUCUGUUUGGCGAUGCGAUAACUCGAUGCCCCUCAAGCUAUCGCUUUCUAUCUAACAAACGAAUGAAUACUAGCGACCUUUGCUUCUUCAUGGCUCGUAUUUAUCGCCAACAUUUUACCAACAUUCUAACAAUUUGUAACAGUAGAUGGACAAAUUAGUGGAUCGUAUCAUCGACGCAAAGAAUAUACGCAACAUUUGACGAAAUAAGAAUUUACGUCUCACGUGUUCUGAAAUACCGACUUCGAAAAGGACCGGACUUGUUUCUUACGCCAUCUGCGAUUUGCUAAGGAGAACAUAGGAGUUAUCUCAUGUCAUGUCAUGUCAGUUUUUAACCUCGAUGUAAUCUCAACCGAAUCGGAAACGAUAAAAGCCAGUAGCCAUGAGAAGAUUCUCGUUCGUUACACGCAUAGACACAGACGAUCUAAUGAAUUGUUGAAUGAUUCAAGUUACACAAAAGAAAGUUACAACGUUGAUUAUGCUUGAAAUCAAGAUUAAACUUUAUUGUGUAGAUUAUUAACAGAUUGUGAACAACAUAACUACUGUUGAAGUGGUUAUCACUUCUAAAAAAAAAAAACUCUACAUGAUCUGUUUAGUCUUCUCGUAGUUUGUUUUUUAGUAAUAAAUUAAUUUGAAUGGAACAGAGGAAGGCAGCUGGUAAAUGUAUUUGUGAAGACAUUGACAAAAUCAAGGUUCAGAUAUUUACGAUAAGAGUUAGAAAAAUAUUAAGAUAUAAUUGUUUGUAAGGAUGUAGAGUUUUAGGGGCGGUGUUGAAGUGGUCACCACUUCUAGGAAAACUCAACAUCUGGUCUUUUUAGUUUUCUCAAGCGUUGAAAGCCAUCGACAGCAUAUAGACAAAGGAAUAGCACGAAGGCAGACCAUAAACAGUGGACAGGCGCUAGCGUGCGGAUCUGGAACAGCUCAAAUUAUAUUCCUACUUAUUAUUACACUUCACUAUUAAAUUAAAUCUAUAUAUUUUGUACCUUACGCUUUAUCCACGCGUUUUCUCUCUUUAUACAACGAAUAACAUCAACAAUUACAAUGCGAAUACCCGUGCAAAAGUUGCUCAUUCUAACACAGAAUUAAAUGUAGAAUUUAAUAUAUCGCGGAAUAAACUUGGAAAGACAUGAUGUUAUUAACUUUCGAAAUGUUUCAGUAUGAUACUUUAACAUAAGCGUAAAACAACUACGAGGUAGAAAUCCAUGAUUAUGCAGAAAUCGAUAAAGCUAUCUAACAACUAUACGUGAUACAAUCGCGAUCACAGCCAAUUAGCUCAUAAUAUUAUUUACAAUACAAUUCAUAAUUCUAUCAUAUACAAUGAUACAAUUAGCAAUUGUAUAUAAAAUAAUACUAAGUGUCCAGGUCUCACCACGUGGAGGUUGCUGUGAGUGGAGACCCGCCCUACCCACGAUCCCAUCCACCCUCCUUUUACGCAAAAAUUUACUACUUUUGAUAGAAAUUUGUAUAGAAAACAUUCAAUUUGUAUAGAAAAAAUUACAGCAAAUUUUACUUUUUGUGUACGUUUGCGAAACCUUUCGGUUCUUACGCAAACUACAAGCCAAAAGGAACUUUAAGAAAACCGACGCGAGAAACUAAACCGAUUUUGACAGCUAAAAGUAAGAGACAAACUAAAUUAUUUACAUCUUAAACUAAAUUAUAUUUCUUUAAGAGACAGUAUAUUCUUCUUACAUCUUAGCUGUCAAAGAAAUGAAUGCUUGGCGCUUAACAGUGCUUUAAAAAAUGGAAAAUGUGCAUCAUGAAGAAAUAUACUAAUUUUCUUCAUCAUUCACAUACCACUUGCAAUUACGCAUGCGCUUAAUACAAAUUUAACUACAAGCAUGAAAACCAUUGAAAGCAUUGAAAGCAUUAGAAACAUCUGAAAACAGCAUAAUACAGUUUUACGAAUUUCAAGACCCCUUCUAUAUUCUACCUAUUACAACAAUUCCCAUGAAUUCUAACUACCAUAUAUUUAAACAUAAUAAAGGGACGAAGAGAAUUUACUUUUAUAAACAUUGCAAAAUAAUAUCUUCAGUGUUGUGCACAGUGAAAUUCUUCUUUAUACAUCUGUCCUAUCUAUCAGAGACGUGAACGGGAUUUUUAUGGAUUCUAACUAUCACUAGUCUUGAUAUCUUUUUAAAUCCUACUUGUGAGAAAUUUGAAGGUUUCUCUAUUAACCCUACUGGCCAGGAUUCUGAAGGUUCUUUUAUAAGUUCUAACCAGAAAAUUUUAAAGUCUAGUUGAAGUCUAUCUAUGGGGGUCUGAUAUAAAAAAGAUUUUAUAUUUGAUUUUAUAUCUGAUUUUAUAAGAUUUUAUAUCUGAUUUUAUAUUUAUAUAAAAAUCUAAAUAUCAUAAAGGGAUGGAAUGGGAAAUUGUAUUUCCUAUUGUAUAGAGCAUUAUAUAGGGCACGCGUGGGACGUGAGUGUCCUUCCGUCGAUUUCACAAUAUCCUAAAAUAAAUUUAAACCAUACAAAAAUUAAUACAAUUCUAUAAAUAUAUAUAUAGUAGGUACCAAUAGAAGGGACUCAAAUAUGA